AGGCUAAUAUUUUAAUAUUAGAAACAUCAAUUUGCAAUUGAUAAGUGUUUUAUCAACUUAGCCAA
rnacentral:tRNA from 1 species